rnacentral:lncRNA from 1 species
GAUAGCAGAGUGUUUUGUUUAAACACAAAUGCUGUAGAAAAUUCUUUCGGGUAAGAGUAACUCAAUCUUGGAGUUACUGUUAGCUUUAAGAUGUGAGAGUGUAGUGUUGUGUUAUAAUUUUUAAGUUCUUGAGCUUUCAGCUCAGUUCUAAAGAAGCUUUUCAUCUCCUCACUAGGUUUUUGCCUUACGUGAGAUACUUACAACAAGACCAUGGUGGGGUCUCCCAUAACAGCCCCACCGUCCUUCGAGUCAGAACUCCACAGGCGCCCAUAUUGAAACAUGCACUCAUUUACUUCAACAAAGAUAAAUGACAAUCAGAAGGCUGAGCCCAUUAAUGGUUCCUCACCAGACCUUCUUUGGUCCACUCGCUGUCUUCACUCUUCGCUCAUCCUUGGAGGGUACCAGAGGCCAUAUUGGGUCUUACUUUUUGCGAUGCCCCAUAGGAGAAAGGUAAAGAGGCUUAGCAGAGGGAAGGGGUAUAUAAGAUUUUCUCAUUCAGUACAGAGAAUAUUGGAAGAAAGUGCUAAUUAAGUACUGCAGUAAUCCUUAUUGCUUCCAUGUUCUACUUCUUGUAAUUUUUCUUUUUUAUAAUCUCCUCUAAUCCUUAGUCAAUAGCCUCCUUAUCAGUCAACAAACUCAAAUUUCAGACCUGCUUUGGUUUGCAUAUGAGUUACUCCUUAGAGGAGCUUUAGAUAUGUGCUAAGAAGACUACUUGGGCAAAUAAGGGCUAAAUAAUGUUUUAAUAUGACAUUUCUCUAACUCAUCUUCAAAAACAUGCUGAGAUGGACUGGAUAGCAAAUAACAACGUAGAUGUCAAAAUAACUUUCUAAAAAUUGAACUAAUAAAAGAACUAGAAGAAAAUAUUGUGACUAGUAU